GCGCGCCCGGAGUUCGAAAUGAAAACUUCCUCGAAAGUUGUGUCUAAAACGUGGCAUAAACUACAGCCAUAUAGUUUAGUCCUUCGGGGAUACAACCAAGAACCACUCCAACCACAACAGAGCUUGAAGAGGAAAUCAGAAACCGCGAUUGCUGAUGGCAAGAGACAAAGUUGUUGGAAAGCUUGGAAAACCUCUCCAUUACAAAAGUGGCACAUUCCACAGGAUUAUUCUCAACUUCAUGAUCCAGGGAGGUAAUAUUACAUUUGGUGAUGGAAGAGGUGAGGAUCGGUCUAUGGAUAGAAGUUUGCUGACAAGAACAUUAAGAUGAAGCAUACUGGACCUGGUAGGACUGGUUUGAUUUGUUCCUCAACCCACUGAUUUCAUUAGUCCUGUAUGGUUGGUUGUUGUUUUGUUCAAGACUAUUGGGAGAUUUCCGUUUCCUCUUUGUUGUUUUGUAGUACCAAUUUUUCACUGCCUGUCCUAAUAGCAGAGAAGUUAGUUUAAAUGAAGUAUAUCUCUGAACUGGUGUUGUUUUGUGAUUGGCUAAAGUGCUCGCUGAAGCUGGAAUAUAUGUGUCUGGACUCGGAGCAGAUGGCGGAGUAUAAUCCCUAAG